GGGGGCGAUUGGAUUCGACCGGGUGAGACGAGGUGUAAGUCGCGUGCCCAGGUUGCCGGGAGGCCUGGUAAAACACCUGGCAAAACCUUUAUAUGCCAACACUCAGUUGCGCAUGGCAGCCUAAAUAGGCUACCCGUCCUCCGGCCGACGCCCACUAGGCUGGUUGGACGUCGCUAGUGGGCUGGUCCAGAGACGACGCCUGACCGUCUCCGGAUGAGAAAACAGUCGGGCUGGACAAAGGCGAAGCCUGUCGAUGGGCGUCGCCGGCGUCGAGAAAUAAACCAUCGACUAUGCACGUAGAAGCUUACAUUAAGCCACCGCGGGACGGGGGUUCGAUUCCCCCCGCCUCCA
rnacentral:tmRNA from 1 species